rnacentral:rRNA from 1 species
UGGGGAAUUUUGCGCAAUGGGCUAACGCCUGACGCAGCAACGCCGCGUGGAGGAUGAAGGUCUUUGGAUUGUAAACUCCUGUCAGCAGGGAAAAAGGGAGGUGGCCGAAUACGCCAUCAACUUGAUUGUACCUGCAGAGGAAGCCCCGGCUAACUCUGUGCCAGCAGCCGCGGUAAUACAGAGGGGGCAAGCGUUAUUCGGAAUUAUUGGGCGUAAAGGGCGCGUAGGCGGCUACACAAGUGGCGGGUGAAAUCCCUCGGCUUAACCGAGGAACUGCCUGCCAGACUGUGUGGCUUGAGACCGGGAGAGGUGAGUGGAAUUCCCAGUGUAGCGGUGAAAUGCGUAGAUAUUGGGAGGAACACCAGUGGCGAAGGCGGCUCACUGGACCGGAACUGACGCUGAGGCGCGAAAGCGUGGGGAGCAAACAG